AUUGAACGCUGGCGGCAUGCUUUACACAUGCAAGUCGAACGGUAACAGCACUUCGGUGGCUGACGAGUGGCGAACGGGUGAGUAAUACAUCGGAACGUGCCUAGUAGUGGGGGAUAACUACUCGAAAGAGUAGCUAAUACCGCAUGAGAUCUAAGGAUGAAAGCAGGGGACCUGCGGGCCUUGCGCUACUAGAGCGGCUGAUGGCAGAUUAGGUAGUUGGUGGGAUAAAAGCUUACCAAGCCGAAGAUCUGUAGCUGUUCUGAGAGGACGACCAGCCACACUGGGACGGAGACACGGCCCAGACUCCUACGGGAGGCAGCAGUGGGGAAUGUUGGACAAUGGGCGCAAGCCUGAUCCAGCAAUGCCGCGUGCAGGAUGAAGGCCUUCGGGUUGUAAACUGCUUUUGUACGGAACGAAAAGCCCUCUUCUAAUACAGGAGGGUCAUGACGGUACCGUAAGAAUAAGCACCGGCUAACUACGUG
rnacentral:rRNA from 1 species